ACUCUCUGACAAUGAGCAAAGAGACACCUUCUUGGUGGUGUUCUCAUAUCAGUCAGGGACAGAGCAGAUGGUAGUUCUUUGUUCAACCUAGCUUGAUGCCUGACUUGGUGGCCAAAGCUGUCUUAUGGCUAGGACUCAUAA